rnacentral:lncRNA from 10 species
GGCAUUUCCCCUGCUCACUCUCACUCCAUCCUGCUGCCCUGUGAAGAAGGUGCCUGCUUCUCCUUUGGCUUCUGUAAUGAUUCUAAGUUUCCUGAGGCUUCCCCAGCAAUGUGGAACUAGCACGGGCUCCCCAAAGGCCAGGAACGAGUCUGGUUUCUGGAACAGCACUGUCUCCUCAGCACCUAGACCUGGGCACAUAGCAGACAACCAAGGAAUGCCCAUCAACGAGAGGAGGCCUCACCUCAUGGCGGCCAUGUGGGGCAGGAAUGACUGUAAUCCCCCCUAACCAAUGGAACAGCUAAGACUCAGAGAGGCCUCCGUCGUUGCUCUGGGACCUCGUUGCUGACCCUGGAUGACAGACCACUGCCUAGGAUGAAAUUCCCCUCUGGAUGGAUGGCUUCUGGUUUGGUGAUGGAAUGGAUUCCAGGGCCUCUGAGGAAGGCAGGAAGCCUUGGGACUUGGCAAUCUCCACAGGAGAUGGGGUGUGUGCUAGGUGAGGCCCCCAUCACCAGGAGCAAGGCCUGGUCCACCCUGAGACCCAGCGCCCACUUACUGUCCAUGCCUUCACCUUGCUAAGUUAGUGUGUGGUCCACUUGCUAAGAGAAACAACAGGUAUUAAGGGUUUAAGAAAAAAUGAAACCCAAAACAAGCUCUGAAGUUCUGUAGACCUUGGCCAACUCUCAGCACAGCCACUUACUUGCUAGCUAAUCUUGAGCACGUCCCUUAACUUCUCUAACCUUUUUCCUCCAUUCGUAAAACUGGGAAAAUUUGCAUCUUUUUCGUGCAUUCGUUUUGAGAAAUAGAUGGAUAUGUGUGUGCCUGUCAGCUCGACGCUGGGUGCAGAGUGAGUGCGCUAAGCACGGUGGCUUCCUUGACUGUAGAGAUGCAUCCUAGCUCCUGCCUGGUCUGUCCCAGGUGGACAGAGGUGAUGGCAUCUGGAGGGGUCCCACCUCCAAUGUCUUAAUCCAGGGCCUUUCUGUGGCAUAGUGCUGAGCCAGCGUACUGAAAGGCCACAGAGAGGUGCAGCAGGUGGCGAGUUGAGCCCCCACCUCCCCAACCCCAGUGAUUUUCCCUGAAAAGACACCCCAUGCUUUGUUUUGUUGUCUGGCUUAUGUAAACUUGCCUCUUGUUUUAUAGUUGCUUCCCCAGCUUUAAACUAAAGGCUGUUAUUGACAGCCUAUAGUUGCUUCCCCAACGGCCAAUCCCUCCAGCUCCCCUCCUGCUUCCAGGCAAACAACCCCAGUCAUAAGGGCCUGCGAUGUUCCCAGUCCCAGGGAAUGAGUCCUGAUUGGUCUAAGACAGCUAAGACAAUUCUUUUCUACUUUAUCAAAUACAGAUGACCCCUGAACAGCACCAGUUUGAACUGGGGGGUCCACUUAUAUGUGGAGUUUCUCUCUCUGCCACCUCUGGGACAGCAAGACCAAUGCCUCCUCCCCCUCCUCCUCCUGAGCCUACUCACUGUGAGUAGGAUGAAGACCUUUAGGAUGAUCCAUUUCCACUUAAUCAAUAGCAGAUAUAUUUUCUCUUCCUUAUGAGUCUUUUAACAACAUUUUCUUUUCUCUAGCUUAUUUUAUUGUAAGAAUACGGUGUUGAAUGCAUAUAACGUGCAAAUACAUGUUAAUCAACUGUUUAUGUUACGGGUAUGGCUUCUGGCCAACAGUAAGCUAUUAAUAGUUAAGUUUUGGGGAAGUCAAAAGUUAUAUGCAAUUUUUUGACUGCACAGGGAGUCAGCACCCCUCACUCCUCAUUGUUCAGGGUCAACUGUACUUGGUUUCCAAGCCUCCCUUAUAAGUCGGUAUGGCCAUGGGACCCAGUUUUAGAUGUGAGAAGAGAAGAAGGGUUGCAUCUGGGAAGGAUUUCUUUCUGGAUGAAAGAUAGUCUUUUGAGGAGCGGCUCCUUGGUCCCUGCCCUGUCCCUCCUGCUGGAGAUGCUGCAUGCAAGGGCCUGAUGUCUGGAAUUGAAGCAUCCAUGUGGUGACCAUGAGACAAGAAGCAUGACAAUAAAAUUUCACUGGGUGGAAGAAUGAGGAAGUCUGGAUUCUUGAUGAUACUGUUGCCGUCUGAACAUGCCCUGUGACCCUGUACUUCUGGGCAUCUGGUUACAUGAGCAAUAAAUAUUCUUACGGCUAAAACCA